GCGGGCGGCGAUUCAAUGCCCUCCGAAGGCAGGGGUUGCUGGUUCGAUCCCAGCCGGGCGCGCCA
rnacentral:tRNA from 1 species